rnacentral:rRNA from 1 species
UACGAGGGGGGCGAGCGUUGUUCGGAAUUACUGGGCGUAAAGGGAGCGUAGGCGGGUUAUCAAGUUGGAGGUGAAAGCCCAGGGCUCAACCUUGGAAUUGCCUUCAAAACUGAUAGCCUAGAGUAUGAUAGAGGUAUGUGGAACUCCGAGUGUAGAGGUGAAAUUCGUAGAUAUUCGGAAGAACACCAGUGGCGAAGGCGACAUACUGGGUCAUGACUGACGCUGAGGCUCGAAAGCGUGGGGAGCAAACAGG